rnacentral:rRNA from 1 species
AUUGAACGCUGGCGGCAGGCCUAACACAUGCAAGUCGAGCGGAUGACGGGAGCUUGCUCCUUGAUUCAGCGGCGGACGGGUGAGUAAUGCCUAGGAAUCUGCCUGGUAGUGGGGGACAACGUUUCGAAAGGAACGCUAAUACCGCAUACGUCCUACGGGAGAAAGCAGGGGACCUCCGGGCCUUGCGCUAUCAGAUGAGCCUAGGUCGGAUUAGCUAGUUGGUGGGGUAAUGGCUCACCAAGGCGACGAUCCGUGACUGGUCUGAGAGGAUGAUCAGUCACACUGGAACUGAGACACGGUCCAGACUCCUACGGGAGGCAGCAGUGGGGAAUACUGGACAAUGGGCGAAAGCCUGAUCCAGCCAUGCCGCGUGUGUGAAGAAGGUCUUCGGAUUGUAAAGCACUUUAAGUUGGGAGGAAGGGCAGUAAGUUAAUACCUUGCUGUUUUGACGUUACCGACAGAAUAAGCACCGGCUAACUCUGUGCCAGCCGCCGCCGUAA